rnacentral:lncRNA from 1 species
AUUUUGAUGAUAGAUUUAUAAAAAAAACUGAUUGUAUAAUGUAUUUUAAAUAUAUUUAUUUAUAAAACAACUAUAAUAAUAAUAUUUAUAGUAUAAUAAUUAUUAUAUAUAUAUAUAUAUAUAUAUAUAUAUAGAGUGAGGCUACUAUACUAUCGGAAGCACGGAGCCUUCCGUGCUUCCAGCUCGUUUUCGAUGUUGCGACUUUCGAAUCGUUGAUCGGCUUCGUUAAACUUGAUCUAGAGUAUUUGAAGUACCUAGAAAAUAAAUUUUAUUAUUUUUCGAUAUCAUUUGCCUAGUGAUCGAAUGGGCUCAAAAUCAACAAAUUUCAAUGGUCGUAGUGAGCCGUUUGCAAGUUUAACGGUGUAGAAAUAUCCAAAUCAUGUGAAAUUUUGAUAGAAAAUUCUUUAUACUAUAUAAAACAAGAUCAAUAUCUUUGAUUUAAAAUUUUAAUGUCAUAUUAUCACAUUUUAUAAGAUUUUUAUUUUCAGCCGUUGAUUUUGAGCCCCUUCGUUCACUAGGCAAAUGAUAUCGAAAAAUAAUAAAAUUUAUUUUCUAGGUACUCCAAAUACUCUAGAUCAAGUUUAACGGAGCCGAUCGACGAUUUGAAAGUCGCAACAUCGAAAACGAGCUGGAAGCACGGAAGGCUCCGUGCUUCCGAUAGCAUAGUAGCCUCACUCUAUAUAUAUAUAUA